AUGUUGCUCCUGAGUGCGUUCACCUUCUCCUGCCUCUGGGUGUUUGGACUUGGCCAGUUGGAGCAACCUGAAAUGUCAGUGACCAAAGCCAUAGGCGAGAGUGCCCAAAUAGCCUGUAAAAUCCCUCCAGACCAUAGCGACACAGAUAUACAUUGGUACCGGCAGAGAGAAAAUCAACAGUUUGACUAUCUAAUAAAUGUCAGGCAAAACUAUAAUCAACGUCCCUUAGAUGGGAUAAACAAGAAAAUUGAAGUAAGUAAAGAUCGUCAAACUUCUACUUCAACCUUGAAAGUAAAUUUUCUGAAGAAAGAAGAUGAAGCCUUUUACUACUGUGCCAUCUGGACUUACUCAACAUGGAUCAAGAAAUUUUCAAAAGGGACAAAGCUCAUAGUAAUUCCCUCAGGCAAACGCUUCGAUUCAGACAUUUUCCCCAAGCCUACCAUUUUUCUCCCUUCUGUUGCUGAAAUGAAUCUCCAUAAGGCUGGGACAUACCUUUGCCUCCUCGAGAAAUUCUUCCCUGAUGUUAUAAGUGUAUAUUGGAGAGAAAAGGGUAGCGAUAAGGUUCUGGAAUCUCAAGAGGGAAAUACCAUGAAGACUAAAGAUACAUACAUGAAGUUAAGUUGGCUGACUGUCGCUGAAGAUUCAAUGAAUAAGGAGUAUGGAUGCAUAGUCAAACAUGAAAAUAAUAAGGGAGGAGUUGAUCAAGAGAUUCUCUUUCCUCCCAUAGAUAAAGUUGCCAACAUCAUUGAUCCCACAGAAGCUUCUUUGAAAAGUGAAAAUGCUUUCACAAUUAUUAAUCCCAGAGAAAGUGUUCUGAGACAUGAAAAUGUUAAUAAUUCUACUGAUCUGGAAGCUUGCUUGGAAAGAAGAAAGGAUCAGCUGCAGCUUCAAGUUACCAAUACCUUGGCAUUCUACACCUACCUCAGCCUGUUCUCCAAGAGUGUGGUCCACUUGGCCUUCGUUAUCUUCUAUCUGUGUAGAAGAGCAGCAGUGCAUCGUGAUGGUCAAAGUUCAUGAUGGAUGAUGCAACAGGAGGGUCAAGUUUUUUGCAUCCUUUUUCUGCCCUCGAUGUCUUAUGAGGGUCUAGCUGGAUGUGCUUGCUGCUUUGAGCUCCUCAAGGUCACAUAUGAGGAAUUUAGUAUCCUUACUAUACAGAUGUUUUCAACAGAGAGGGAAAUGAUCAACUUUACAACAAAUAGUAGCCCAUGAGAGCACCCAGCCAUCCUGACCCAUCUUCUCUCAAUGCCCAGUGGCCCCCACCCACCCAAUAGCCCAGAGCAUCACAAGCCCAAUGUAGACAAACUGCAACUUUUAGUCAGCCCACUUCAUGUCCUUCAACCAGAUAAUGCCCUAAAAGCUUCUACAUCAUAUGCUCUGAAGAACCUUAUUUGAACUUGAACUCUGUGCUUUGCUUGCUAAAUACAAUAAAAAUCAUG